rnacentral:rRNA from 1 species
UACGAAGGGGGCUACGUGUCUCGGAAUCACUGGGCGUAAAGGGUGCGUAGGCGGGUCUUUAAGUCAGGGGUGAAAUCCUGGAGCUCAACUCCAGAACUGCCUUUGAUACUGAAGAUCUUGAGUUCGGGAGAGGUGAGUGGAACUGCGAGUGUAGAGGUGAAAUUCGUAGAUAUUCGCAAGAACACCAGUGGCGAAGGCGGCUCACUGGCCCGAUACUGACGCUGAGGCACGAAAGCGUGGGGAGCAAACAGG